rnacentral:rRNA from 1 species
AUUGAACGCUGGCGGCAGGCCUAACACAUGCAAGUCGAACGAGUGGCGGACGGGUGAGUAAUGUCUGGGAAACUGCCUGAUGGGGGGGGAUCACUACUGGAAACGGUAGCUAAUACCGCAUACCAUCAGAUGAUCCCAGAUGGGAUUCGCUAGUUGGUGGGGUAACGGCUAACCAAGGCGACGAUCCCUAGCUGGUCUGAGAGGAUGACCAGCCAACCGGGAACUGAGACACGGUCCAGACUCCUACGGGAGGCAGCAGUGGGGAAUAUUGCACAAUGGGCGCAAGCCUGAUGCAGCCAUGCCGCGUGUAUGAAGAAGGCCUUCGGGUUGUAAAGUACUUUCAGCGGGGAGGCGUUACCCGCAGAAGAAGCACCGGCUAACUCCGUGCCAGCCGCCGCGGUAAUUC